ensembl:snoRNA small nucleolar RNA SNORA2/SNORA34 family
UCGGCCCUUACUGAAGACCUGCAGCUUCUCGUAGCUGCUUGUUUCAAAUUGAGGCCAACACUAAUUCCUUCCUGUGGUCUGUUGGUUUCCCCAUUUUUAAAAGGGGGUCAGUCAACUCAGUUGGAAGGAACAAUU